rnacentral:rRNA from 1 species
UACGGAGGAUCCAAGCGUUAUCCGGAUUUAUUGGGUUUAAAGGGUGCGUAGGCGGCUUAUUAAGUCAGGGGUGAAGGACGGUGGCUCAACCAUCGCAGUGCCCUUGAUACUGAUGAGCUUGAAUACACUAGAGGUAGGCGGAAUGUGACAAGUAGCGGUGAAAUGCAUAGAUAUGUCACAGAACACCGAUUGCGAAGGCAGCUUACUAUGGUGUGAUUGACGCUGAGGCACGAAAGCGUGGGGAUCAAACAGG